GAUGAACGCUGGCGGCGUGCUUAACACAUGCAAGUCGAACGGGAAACUUUUCAUUGAAGCUUCGGCAGAUUUGGUCUGUUUCUAGUGGCGGACGGGUGAGUAACGCGUGGGUAACCUGCCUUAUACAGGGGGAUAACAACCAGAAAUGGUUGCUAAUACCGCAUAAGCGCACAGGACCGCAUGGUCCGGUGUGAAAAACUCCGGUGGUAUAAGAUGGACCCGCGUUGGAUUAGCUAGUUGGCAGGGUAACGGCCUACCAAGGCGACGAUCCAUAGCCGGCCUGAGAGGGUGAACGGCCACAUUGGGACUGAGACACGGCCCAGACUCCUACGGGAGGCAGCAGUGGGGAAUAUUGCACAAUGGGGGAAACCCUGAUGCAGCGACGCCGCGUGAAGGAAGAAGUAUCUCGGUAUGUAAACUUCUAUCAGCAGGGAAGAUAGUGACGGUAC
rnacentral:rRNA from 1 species